AUGUCAACCAACAAGGGCGGAGGCGGAGGGAAGAAGAAGAAGGAGGUGAAGAAGGAAACAAAACUGGGGAUGGGGUACAAGAAGGAUGAUAACUUCGGGGAGUGGUAUUCUGAGGUUGUUGUUAACAGCGAAAUGAUUGAGUACUACGACAUCUCUGGUUGUUAUAUCUUGAGGCCUUGGGCGAUGGAAAUAUGGGAGUUGCUGAAAGAAUUUUUUGAUGCGGAAAUAAAAAAGUUGAAGCUGAAACCAUAUUAUUUCCCUUUGUUUGUUACGGAGAGUGUUCUGCAGAAGGAAAAAGACCAUAUUGAGGGCUUUGCCCCUGAGGUAGCGUGGGUUACUAAAUCAGGAAAAUCUGAUCUGGAAGCUCCUAUUGCAAUCCGUCCAACAAGUGAGACGGUCAUGUAUCCAUACUUCUCUAAAUGGAUAAGAAGCCACCGGGACUUACCUUUGAAGUGUAACCAGUGGUGCAAUGUUGUUAGAUGGGAGUUUAGCAAUCCAACUCCUUUCAUAAGGAGCCGUGAAUUUCUUUGGCAAGAAGGCCAUACAGUUUUUGCAACUAAAGAGGAGGCAGAUGAAGAGGUCCUCCAAAUAUUGGAACUCUACAGGAGAAUAUAUGAAGAAUUUUUAGCAGUUCCAGUGUCCAAAGGGAGGAAAAGUGAGAUGGAAAAGUUUGCUGGUGGACUUUAUACAACCAGUGUAGAGGCCUUCAUUCCAAAUACUGGCCGUGGUAUACAAGGUGCAACUUCACAUUGUCUUGGUCAAAACUUUGCAAAGAUGUUUGAUAUCACUUUCGAGAAUGAAAAGGGUGAACGGUCCAUGGUGUGGCAGAACUCUUGGGCAUACACUACCCGCUCGAUUGGGGUCAUGAUAAUGACACAUGGUGAUGACAAGGGCUUAGUGCUGCCACCAAAGGUGGCACCUAUCCAGGUCAUUGUUAUUCCUGUGCCAUUUAAAGAUGCUGACACAACAGCUAUUAAAGGGGCGUGCGAGUCGGCCGUUUACACCUUGAACCAAGCUGGGAUUCGAGCAGAUUUGGAUGCUCGUGAAAAUUACUCUCCAGGUUGGAAAUAUUCUCAAUGGGAAAUGAAAGGUGUUCCUUUGAGAAUAGAGAUAGGUCCAAAAGAUCUGGCAAACAAGCAGGUGCGUAUUGUCCGGCGAGACAAUGGUACAAAGGUUGAUAUUCCUUCAACCGACUUGGUUGAGCAGGUUAGAGUGUUGCUGGAUGGGAUUCAAGUAAACUUGUUGGAAACAGCGAAAGCAAAGAGAGACGCCUGCAUUAAAAUCAUCAGCACCUGGGAUGAAUUCAUAGCGGCUCUCAACGACAAAAAGUUGAUCUUGGCUCCAUGGUGUGAUGAAGAGGAGGUGGAGAAGGACGUGAAAGCUCGGACCAAAGGUGAACUUGGGGCUGCGAAAACAUUGUGUACUCCAUUUGACCAGCCAGAUCUUCCUUCCGGAACCGUGUGCUUUGCUUCCGGAAAGCCUGCUCAAAAGUGGUCAUUCUGGGGUCGCAGCUAUUGA
rnacentral:rRNA from 1 species